AUGAAAGCCAGGAAGUGGGGGGGUACAGUCACUCCCGAGGUGCCUUCCAAGAGGCCCCGGGGGUGGGGAAUGAGAGGAAGUGCGGCGUCCCUGGGCCUGGGUCCCUGCUGGAGAGUGGGGGCCCACGGGAAGGGGGCUCCUGGGGAGGGGGUGCACAAGGGGGCCAGAAGGCGGGGAGCCCACCCGACAUGGGGCUCUGGGCUGCAGGCGCUGUGUGGGCACUGUCCCUGCAGAGGGCCCCGAGGCCUGGCAGGCGGGCGGGUGGGGUGGGGGCCCUGCCCCAGCAUCCCGCCGUUAUCUGCAGUCAGUCAGAGACCUAAGCUAUGUCUUAGGAGCUGGGGAGACAGUGGGCUGCAGCCCUGGGGAGGACUCGUCGGCCCUAGAAGAGGAAAACCAGCCGCUGACGGAGAGACUGUGGCCAGAUGGGUUUCCGCUCCGUCCUGGCGGCCCUGGGCGGCUGGGCCUCACCUGGAGCUGCUGGGGGGGGUCUGGGAUGCAUCCCUGGGGGCCUGGGGCCUGCUCGCUGCAGCUAUAACUCAUCGGCACAGACCAGGAACUGAGCAGAACCCGCGGCAGUCCCCAGGGCCCUUCCCAGCCCCGGCCCCAGCCCCCUCGGUCCUGCCGCCUCUGCCUGCUGUAACCUGGCGUCCCCCGUCUCUCAUUCCCUCUUGCAAAGUAAACAGACCUCCCACAUGGCAACACACGAACAUCGCAGAAGAUGGGGGGCUCGUGGGGGGUGGGGGAAGCACUGGGGGCUCUCGCUUGCUCCCUCUGUCCACAGACUUCCCCCACGACCUGGUGCCCUGCGUGCUCCCUGCAGGACUGUCCCCACGGGAAGGGACACCCAGACCCUUCAGGUCAAGCGUGCAGCCCCGUGAGAGGUGUCCAGCCAAGGUGGGCCCGCUGGUGUUUGUUCACAGUGUGGGAGACCCUCUCUGGUGCCCAUGCAGAGAUCUGGAGCUCCUCUCCUGCUAUGCAGGACAAGGGGACACUGAGUCACAGCCAAGACAACCAUGGGGCCAGUCUUAG
rnacentral:lncRNA from 1 species